rnacentral:rRNA from 1 species
AGUUUGAUCCGUGGCUCAGAACGAACGCUAGGCGGCAGGCCUAAAACAUGCAAGUUGAACGGUUAUAGCAAUAGUAGCAGUAGCGGACGGGUGAGGAACAUAUGGGAACAUGCCUUUUUGGUGUGGGAAUAACAGUACUGGGAAACGGGUGAUAAUACCGCAUAAGCCCCACGGGGGAAAGAUUUAUCGCCGGAAGAGUGGCCCAUAUCAGAUUAGCUAGUUGGUUAGGUAACGGCUGACCAAGGCGACGAUCUGUAGCCGGUUUGAGAGGAUGAUCGGCCACACUGGGACUGAGACACGGCCCAGACUCCUACGGGAGGCAGCAGUUAGGAAUAUUGGACAAUGGGGGAAACCUUGAUCCAAGCCAUGCCGCGUGAGUGACGAAGGCCUUCGGGUUGUAAAGCUCUUUUGUAUGGGAAAAUGAUGAUGGUACCAUAAGAAUAAGCACCGGCAAACUUCGUGCCAGCCGCCGC